rnacentral:miRNA from 1 species
AAAUGACUUCAGGGGCAGCUGG